CUUAUCUUCCCUUCAAUCAGCCUCUUAUUUCUCUCAUCUUCUUCCUCUUUUUUUUUCCUUUGGUUUUUGUCUUUUAUUUUGACCGAGAGCAACAAGAAGAACAACAAUGGUCUGGAUUUUUUUACUUAAGAAAUUACAGUAUUACGGGUCUCCUCCGGCCUCAAGAGGGUUAAGAAAAUGGCAAACAAAAGCAGGAGAACGGAAAGCCAGUGGUCCAAGCAGAAAAGAUGUUUUUUUUUUUAAAAGAGAGAGGGUGCGACGCUAUGAUUUCACUUUGAAAGUGUGAGACCAUUAUAAUUCAUAGCAUCAGUGGUGCAGAAGAAAUCAGAGUAUCAAGAGUCUCCUCCGGACUCAAGAUCCUUAAGGUUGGAGCUAGAUUUUCUGUUUCUUAGCUUUCGCCUCUAUAUUUUUUUCCCUUUUUCCCACUAGAAGUAUCAAUCUAUGUUGUUGACUUUCUCGACCAUCAA